rnacentral:misc_RNA from 1 species
UCCGUGUUAACCACGGCAGUCUCCUUAGAGAGCCCAACUGAAUGCUGGCAACUAAGGACAAGGGUUGCGCUCGUUGCGGGACUUAACCCAACAUGUCACCACACGAGCUGACGACAGCCAUGCAGCACCUGUCUCCUGGUGGUAUUGCUACCAACCCCGUAUCUCUACGGGUAGCCAGGGAUGUCAAACCCAGGUAAGGUUCUUCGCGUUGCUUCGAAUUAAACCACAUGAUCCACCGCUUGUGCGGGCCCCCGUCAAUUCCUUUGAGUUUUAGUCUUGCGACCGUACUUCCCAGGCGGAGUACUUAUUGCGUUAGCGCCGGCUCAGCAGGGGUCAAUUCCCACCAAGCCUAGUACUCAUCGUUUACAGCGUGGACUAC